UACAGAGGGUGCAAGCGUUAAUCGGAAUUACUGGGCGUAAAGCGUGCGUAGACGGUCAUGUAAGUCGGGUGUGAAAUCCCCGGGCUCAACCUGGGAAUGGCGAUGGAUACUGGGCAGCUAGAGUGUGUCAGAGGAUGGUGGAAUUCCCGGUGUAGCGGUGAAAUGCGUAGAGAUCGGGAGGAACAUCAGUGGCGAAGGCGGCCAUCUGGGACAACACUGACGCUGAAGCACGAAAGCGUGGGGAGCAAACAGG
rnacentral:rRNA from 1 species